UACGGAGGGUGCAAGCGUUAUCCGGAUUCACUGGGUUUAAAGGGUGCGUAGGUGGGUUUGUAAGUCAGUGGUGAAAUCUCCAAGCUUAACUUGGAACUGCCGUUGAUACUAUAAAUCUUGAAUGUUGUGGAGGUGAGCGGAAUAUGUCAUGUAGCGGUGAAAUGCUUAGAUAUGACAUAGAACACCAAUUGCGAAGGCAGCUCACUACACAAAGAUUGACACUGAGGCACGAAAAGCGUGGGGGAUCAAACAGG
rnacentral:rRNA from 1 species